rnacentral:rRNA from 1 species
UNGUCUGUGAAAUUCCGGGGCUUAACUUCGGGGUGNCAGGCGAUACGGGCAUAACUAGAGUGCUGUAGGGGAGACUGGAAUUCCUGGUGUAGCGGUGGAAUGCGCAGAUAUCAGGAGGAACACCGAUGGCGAAGGCAGGUCUCUGGGCAGUAACUGACGCUGAGGAGCGAAAGCACGGGGAGCGAACAGGAUUAGAUACCCUGGUAGUCCAUGCUGUAAACGGUGGGCGUUAGGUGUGGGGACCGGUUUGGUUUCUGUGCCGUAGCUAACGCAUUAAGCGCCCCGCCUGGGGAGUACGGCCGCAAGGCUAAAACUCAAAGGAAAUGACGGGGGCCCGCACAAGCGGCGGAGCAUGUGGAUUAAUUCGAUGCAACGCGAAGAACCUUACCUGGGUUUGACAUGCACCAGACGGUUGUAGAGAUACGUACCUCCCUUUGUGGUUGGUGUGCAGGUGGUGCAUGGUUGUCGUCAGCUCGUGUCGUGAGAUGCUGGGUUAAGUCCCGCAACGAGCGCAACCCUUGUCUUAUGUUGCCAGCACGUUUAGGGUGGGGACUCAUGAGAGACUGCCGGGGUUAACUCGGAGGAAGGUGGGGAUGACGUCAAAUCAUCAUGCCCUUUAUGCCCAGGGCUUCACACAUGCUACAAUGGUUAGUACAACGCGCUGCGAGCCUGUGAGGGUGAGCGAAUCGCUGAAAGCUAAUCUCAGUUCGGAUUGGGGUCUGCAACUCGACCCCAU